ACGGGGUAUUCCCCUAGUAGCGGCGAGCGAAGCGGGAAGAGCUCAAAUUUAUAAUCUGGCACCUUCGGUGUCCGAGUUGUAAUCUCUAGAAGUGUUUUCCGCGUUGGACCGCACACAAGUCUGUUGGAAUACAGCGGCAUAGUGGUGAAACCCCCGUAUAUGGUGCGGACGCCCAGCGCUUUGUGAUACACUUUCAAUGAGUCGAGUUGUUUGGGAAUGCAGCUCAAAUUGGGUGGUAAAUUCCAUCUAAAGCUAAAUAUUGGCGAGAGACCGAUAGCGAACAAGUACCGUGAGGGAAAGAUGAAAAGCACUUUGGAAAGAGAGUUAACAGUACGUGAAAUUGUUGGAAGGGAAACGCUUGAAGUCAGACUUGCUUGCCGGAGCUUGCUUCGGUUUGCAGGCCAGCAUCAGUUUUCCGGGGUGGAUAAUGACGGUUUGAAGGUAGCAGUCUCGGCUGUGUUAUAGCUUUCCGUUGGAUACAUCCUGGGGGACUGAGGAACGCAGCGUGCUUUUUGCGAAAGACUCGUCUUUUUCACGCUUAGGAUGCUGGUGGAAUGGCUUUAAACGACCCGUCUUGAAACACGGAAC
rnacentral:rRNA from 2 species